AAGCCGUGAGAUAGGAAUAAAUAGUAUGAAGCAAAACCCGCUUGAAUUAAAAACCGUCUCCCUGGGACACGGAUUCCGUGCCUCCACACGGGUUUCUGUGAGCAAGGAUUCCUCACUUUCAGACACGAAAUCCGUGUCCGUGUCUUGGACAUGCAGAACCCGUGCCAUUUUUUAAAAACCCGUGCGGAUUCCGUGCCUUAGCAGUGCCCAAGCCGUGCUUAUUCCGCCUCAAACUUUCGUACGGGAUUGCUGCUGUUGAAUACUUUUAAGCAAAAAUUGAAUUUCUAUUGUUUGAGUAACUGUCCACUAUUUUGCGUCGGUGAGGCGUGGUCUCACGGAUCGACAGACGUUCGGACGGAGGUUGUUGAAAUCCUUGUAGCAUCAACAUAUCAAGACGAAGUAUACAACACACAAAGAAAUGGACAUUAAAACAGCUCAAACGGUCUUCCAUUCAUUUUCCUUUAAAUAUUUUAUUUAAUCUGAGUUGUCUUUAUAAGUCUUUCAAUCUUGUUUCCUUAUGUAAUAUGUGCCUCGGUAGCGCAGUAGGUAGCGCGUCAGUCUCAUAAUCAUAAAGCUAAGAGCGAUCUGAAGGUCGUGAGUUCGAUCCUCACCCGGGGCAUCCAUUUUUAGUUUCCUUUUUCGUUAAACUACGCUUUUAGUUUUUGGAGUGAUGACAGCAACGUGAUGACUUUAACUUUUCAACCGUCAACUGGUUUUAUUUAUAAGCAAAUUUCCCUUAUCACUUGUAUGUGUAGUCGAUUCGAUGAAGAAGAACUUCUACGUUCGAAUUUUUUCUAGAACAUAGCAUACUAUUGACAAAAAAGUUUAUGAAACAAGGAUAUCAAAACUUUCAUUCAAAGUCAAGAAUACGCAAGUUCUAAGAUAGAUACAAUGACCCUGUCAGCAAGUGUACAAUUCUGAAGUUUUCCUGACGUUUGUCAUUCUAAUAAGGUCGCACACUUAAUUGUCUAAGUAUUUUUCCGUUGCCCGAUCAUGAUAAGGCGCACAUGGCGAGUAUAUCCGGUCUACAGGGAAUGUUUACUUCUCUUCAACAGCAUAUCGCACUUCGAAGUUUUAAAGGUCCGUGUUUGCUCCGCUCCCAAAUUGUAUUGUUUCUCUGAACUUCUGAGCUUGAUUAAUUUUCUCCAUCUCUGUUUUAUUUUAUAAAUUUGUUAUUGAGAAAUAUUUAUCAUUUAAGUAACUUUUUAGACCACGA